GGUAUCUCUCCUUUGUUUCAAAAAAAAACCCGGUAUCUCUCCUUCAAAAAAUAAACGCAAAAGAAACGGAAAUCCAUAGCCUCAGCUUUGCCUCAGCUUCGUCGCCGCUUCCUCAGCUUCGUCGCCGACGGCGCGCCUCCGCCGAUUCGACCACAACUCCAACUCGCCCUCUGACUCGCUCGCACGUUCGCAUCGCGCCUCCGUCAGGCGUCUGGGCCGUGGCGGCAACUGAGGCCGGGCCGCCGCGUGCGCCCUGCCGCCGUCCGCGCCGUGGCGGUGACUGAGGCCUGGCCGCCGCGUGCGCCCUGCCGCCUUCCGCGCCGUGGCGGCGACUGCGGCCGGGCCGCCGCGCGCGCCUUCGCUCCCACAACGAAUCGACCGCACAGCCGGGCACCACUUCGUCGAGCUCCGCCCAGCUCAUCCCGUCGGCAGCUCGCCCAUGGAUGUUCCGCUCGUCGCCGCAAUCGGCCAGGUGGGGGCAUGUCGGCUUGCUCCGCCCAGCUCCGGCGACCCCAGCUAGCACGUUGCUCCGAGGCCCCUCAUUGAUCCCCGUGGAGGCGGCGAGCGUGCUGAAGCUCAGGCUGGAGGAGGACAUUGACUGCGUCAUGAACCCUCUCCUCUUCGGCUCUCCUUCGUUCCCGUCGGCGGAGCUAGAGGCUCAGACCUGGUCUUCCCCGAAUCCACAGCUGCGAGCCUCCUCGAGCGGCCCAAGUACACGCUCCCGGAUUUGAUGAUCGACGCCCUUCCCCACCUCGCACGGGACUGGUCACUGGCUAUAGUUGUUGAGGAGUUGGAGAGGACAGAAUUAUAUGGAGAGAAAUUGCAUAUAUUCAGAAAAGCCUUCCUGUUCUAUAACAUAGCAUGCUUUAUACUUCCUCCAUACAGCCAUCGGUGUUUUCUUUGCUGGAUGGAUAGGUAAGAUGAGGCUGUAGAAACUUAUAGAAACAGUACCUUUGUGUUACAUAUUUGACCACCUGUGCUAUAGUUACAGAGGUUUCAUGCUGGAUUUUGACUGGGGAAAGGCAGAAGCAGUGAUAAGAUGAAAAUAUGUCCAAGUCUUGCUAAACCAAGACAUGAGUUUCUUUGAUACCUAUGGAAACAAUGGUGAUAUUGUCUAUAUGAAGAUAACCAAGAGUCAAAAAAUUGCAAGAUAAUCAUGUUGAUCAUAUUAAUUCACUUACUCCAAGUAUGCGAACUCCCCCCUAAAUAGGGCAUGGCUAUUAUAUUUUCAGAGAUUAGUAUGCAAGGAAAUUAGUUAAUUAGCAUGUAAUAAGCUCACAUCGUACAACCACAGUACUAUAGCUGAAACUGAAGCUACCACGACCUACUGGCUGGUCUCAAAAUAGUACUAUAUUCUACCAUUAUUGAACUCUUCAUCCUUCAACACACAUGCCAAGAAAAUGAGAUAGCAACGGUAGCUAAAUGAGUUUGUAACUUCAUCCAUAUAGCAUAAAUCUGAGGUUCUUUUCUUUCCCCUUUCUUUUCUGAAAAAGAAGAGUCCAUUUUGUCAGAGAAUCAAUUAUUUGUGCCCUUUGACAAAAAUUUACCUAGGUUGCUUGAGGAUGACCAAAUUUAGUUGGGGACAAUGAUCUACCAAUUUAUCCUUCUAUCUUGCCUACCCUGGUUCUACCUUUGCUCCCCUCCUCUAAUCCGACUACUGUCCAUGGGAGCUAUUUCACGUCCCAGAUGAAAUUUAGCAUCCUAGCUUUCAGGACAAAUAUGCAGAAACAUUCUCAAAUUCCUAGAGAAGGAAUAGGUAGGAAAUGUGAAUUGAUUUAUGUUAUCAUCAUAACUGACUCCCAUUUCUAAUGAAAAAAGUACAAAAACAGAUUGCUCUUAACUCAUUGUUAUAGAUAUCUCCAUGAUGUUGUACCAACAACCUUUGAUGUGCACUGAAUCCACCUUCUGUAUUUGGAGCGAAAAAAUGAUCUUAUUGCUCGCCAAAGAAAUAGCCCAUAUCUAAUUGCAAAAGGAGACACAUCACUUGGCUAUGGUAAGCUAGACUACUCUUCUUAUGGCAUCAGGAAACCAUCUAUGUUUAAACAGCUGGUGACCAGUUGAAGGGAUCAAUAUAUGUGAUAGGAAGAUAAAUCCCGGAAGAGAUGGUAAUGUCUAUAUUCUUAUCCCAUUGUGAAACCAGGCCAUCAAGCAAAAUGCAAUCAAAAAGCAAAGGUCUGGGCAGUAGGCGUUGAACUAAGAUGAGGCACAUCUUAUCUUAUAAUAAAAAUGUCAGGUUUAUGUGAAAUAGGAACCACUGUAUAGUUAAGAGUGAAACUCAUUUAACGGAUCAUGCAAUUUUUAGAAAUCAUUCAUCGCUAGAAAUAUUCAGGCUAACAGAAAAUGCAACAUAUUAUGUUCAGCUCGUCUAGCAAAUAGAGAGCUUAAAUAUCAUAUUUAUUUGUUUGGUCUAUAAAUUGAUUCCUUGUAACAAUAGGGAAAGACAUGAUGUUUUAUUGUGCUUAGGACAUGCAUUACAUGGAAGUUCUUCCUUUUUAGUUAGAUUAGGACAUGCAGAUGAUACACUAACAAUGAAAUUACAGGUGUUUCAGCAAAUGCAUGUCAACUCUAUUUUAGUCACUCGGAAAAGCAAAAUGAACCUUUUCCAUGAAAGUAGGUAUGUUUAUGAUACACUCUUAUAUCCAACCCUGGAAGUUCAUUUGUCCUAUGCAUGAUGGUUUAACUGGUAUCUACUUUGUACACUGGAUCCUUGAUGCUCAGUUUUGAUUUGUCAUUGAAUUUUCUUGACGCUUAAACGGUGCCACUCGUUUGUUUAAUUAUUACUGCAGAUUCAAAUGCUAUUCUAACAAGUGGGAUUACGUACCUUCACUAAACCUGAUGAUCCCAACAGAGGCCGUAAACCUGAUGAGAAAUACUCCCUGAUCACACACAAGGUAUUAAAACAGGUUAGAUCUGAAAGCAUGAAACAGAACCGGGAAUUUAAAAGCAUGAUAUGUGUGAACUUCAAAUGUGUGUUCAUGAAAAGAAUGAAAUAGAUAUAGAUAUGAUAAUUAGGGGAAAGAAAAAGAUGCGCUACCAAACAUAGUAAUCUGAAUUGCAGCCUUUGAUAUGAUGGAGUCUGAAUUCAGUGUUACCUGUACCGUUGUCUUUGUGCGGAUGUGCUCCUCUACCGGAGUUGCAGCCAAAACCUGAAAUCCACACGGAGGAAGAAUAGAACAGAGCAACAAAAAUUCCAGGAGAUCUCUAGAGGAAAAAUAUUUUCAGGAGAUUUUCUGAUCACAGUUUGGUACGAGAUCUGUAGAUUUCAAGAGUUUACCUUUCAUGUAAUUUUAUUUCCUUUAUGAUGCCCUCGAAUUAUGGGCGGUGAUGGUGAUGGAAUGUAAUCUCUAUAUUUCUUGACUGUAUGGUGCAGUGACGGUGGACAACAUUUAUUUCCUUUCAUGUAAUUUUAUUUCCUUUGCCUGAAACUGGUUCUUGUUGCCUGAUUGUUGUUGCAUGAUGACCGUCCUGUAAUGGUGGGCAACAUUUAUGGCGCGCUGAUGCAUUGCUUGAUGGUGUGGUGGGAGGGCAAAAAUGUCUUAUUGAAAAUAUGGUUGACGAAACCUCCUAACGGAGGAAACAGAACAUGUUCGUCCUUUUUAUAUAGUAGAGAUAGAGAUUUCAGCAUGAAAACGGCGAGCCGCUGAGUACAGGGAUUGUGCAAGAGGUACAAAAGGAGGGGAAAAAGAACAAGCACGCUACAACGCACGCACAUCAUGGGGCAUCAGCCUGCAGCUGUAACAGCCACACAUCUAUAGAGUGUCGCGAGAAGCGACGGGGUAGACGGUGGAGCCAGAGCUCACAGUGCUCAACUAGCAUAACGAUCAGGCCACGAGUAUGCAGCCGGACGCCAUCGAAAACCAUACGAUUUCUGCUCUUCCAAAUGAUCCAGAGCAUCAGAAGUACCAGCGAGUUUCGAACGAGGGGAGCGUGAGCCUGGAGCGGGCCGGCGAUCGCUGCACAGACUUCCUCUAGGUCGUGCGCCAGAGCAGCCGCGGGGGCUCCGACAGCAGCGAACAGCGGCGACAGGCGCGUACACCUGGAGAAGAGAAAUCCUUGUUCCAGGAGCUUCAGAGGCAGCUUUCUUCCAGGUUCGAUGAAGCCUCACAGGUGCUGAAGAAUGCGCCACACAUGCUUUUGGAUGCAAUAGUUGACUCAACCUUCAAAUUUAAUGACCAAGCUCUACUCCCAUCUGAGAGCAACUUUGCACCAGUUGAUGAGAUCGGUGAAUCCAUAGAGAUACUCCAGAUUGAAGGAGAAAUACCUACAGAUUUUCCAGAGGGUGUAUACAUUAGGAACGGU